CCGACUUGGGCGCAGCUGAUGCAGCGACGCCGCGUGCGGGAUGACGGCCUUCGGGUUGUAACCGCUUUCUGCUCUGACGAAGCUUUUGUUACGGUAGGAGCAGAAUUGAUCCGGCUAACUACCUGCCAGCAGCCGCGGUAAUACGUAGGGUGCGAGCGUUGUCCGGAUUUAUUGGGCGUAAAGAGCUUGUAGGCGGUUGGUCGCGUCGAUAGUG
rnacentral:rRNA from 1 species